GCUGGGAUAGCUCAGUUGGUAGAGCAUCUCCAUGGUAAGGAGAAGGUCGUGGGUUCGAAUCCCAUUCCCAGCU
rnacentral:tRNA from 1 species